UCCAGACAUGGGUUCCAGUGAAGGGUGAGGUUUCUGGUAAGUUUCCACCUGAUCCAGGCAGUGGGUGGAGAGCAGUGGAGACUCCGCCUCCAGAGACUACACCGCCUGCUUCCAAACCAUGUCCAUCAUCAGGUCCAAGACCCAAACUGCCAUCCAGGUGUACGGAUCCAUGGGCGACGCCCAGAUGGCUGAUGGACACCUGAAGAACAAGAGUGAGAAGAGCCGGCAGCGCCGCAGUUGCCGGAGGCCACCGCCGCCAAACUGAAGCAGAUCCUGGACCGGCUGAUGCGGACCAGAUCCGACGCCAAGACGCAGAUCUGGGGUCUGGAGGAGGAGCUGGAGAUCCUCAAGAAGAACAACCAGGAGGUGGACCCCACCAAGACCAUGGCCCAGAACACACAACUCCACCACACCAUCUACUCCAAGAAUCAGAAGGACCUGGAGGCCUUCCAGGCCAAGGUACCCACAUGACCUCACUUCCUGUGGCGGCAGACGUUAUUAGACGUCAGCGGGCCCUGAUGG